AAGGGCACCACAAGAACGCGUGGAGCAUGUGGCUUAAUUUGACUCAACGCGGGGAAUCUUAUCAGGUCCGAACACGCUGAGGAUUGACAGGUUCUUAUAAGAUAUAUUUAGUGUGUACUUGUAUACGCUUUAUAUAAUUUCUUAUAUUAAAUAUGCUAGUCCUUUCAUGAUUGCGUGAUAGGUGGUGCAUGGCCGUUCUUAGUUCGUGGAGUGAUCUGUCUGCUUAAUUGCGUUUCACAAAAAAUGAGUAUAUAUUAGUCACUUUGUUUGCACACAGAGUUCUAGCUGGGAAUUUUACUUCGGUAACUUUCUUUUAGCACCUCUGUUGUGCACAGUGUCUUUUUACAUAUACUCUGAAGGCAACGAACGUGACCGCAACAUCUUGUUGCAUAUUCUUUGAUUUUGGACUCAGGUUCUUAAUUAAUAUAUAUAUGCUAACUAGAUGGACCGCUGGAUCUUUUCUAAACAGAGGAAGGUUGCGGCAAUAACAGGUCUGUGAUGCCCUCAGAUGUUCUGGGCUGCACACGUGCUACAAUGAUUAUUGCAGUAAGCAUCUAUUAUGUAAAUAGAUGAAUCUUUAUGGUUUAUCUAUUAGGAUAGUGCCCCAGUCUCAAUUGAGCUUGCUCCUUUGGGAUUUGCGGGCUUAUCCGUUUGACCAACUUCGAAAGUAAGUUGGUAAUCAAUUCGAAGUAAUGAUUUCCCUUUGCACAUCAUUAAUGUUUUAGGUUUGUUAGUCUUUUGGUUACUUCGGUUUCUAUUUGUACUACCUUAGAACAUGUGCUCCUUUAUUUCAUGGUGGGGACAGACCAUUGUUAAUUGUUGGUCUCGGUCUCAACUAGGAAUGCCUUGUACGGGUCUUGGUUCAACAAACCACCCGGAAUAUGUCCCUGCCCUUUGUACACACCGCCCGUC
rnacentral:rRNA from 1 species